UUUAUAAACCAGAAGAAGAAUCUUGUUCACCAAGAUGCAUGAGCUCAGCUGUGCACAAAGCCACAAAGCACAUGAUUUGGAGUCAUUUGGCGUUUUUGAUGUGUUGUUAAAGACUUUCAUUUCAGGAAACUCUGUUUGAACCACAAAGUGUAUGAACUUACACUCUACAACAAGGCCUUGCCCCUUGUCGUCUUCAGUGGGAAAACGUUGGUGUCGUCUGAAAUAAAAAUGGAGAAAAUGUUCUUGUGCUUGGAGACUUUCUGUCUGUUGUCUGAUGGUGGUCUAUAAUUGCAAUUGAAUAUAACGUCAACUGGAAAAGUGGAUGCCAGUCCCUGUUUGUUCGGUCUAUAAUUCAACAAACCAAGGAUAAGACAUCUCAUGUGUCACCCAUAAGCCGAUGGAUGAAAAAGUGUUUUAAAGGUGUAGUUGAGAGUCAAAUGACUCAUGCAACUCAAUCCAAUAACCUCCUAAGAAAGAAGACGCUGUUCGGUCUUGUAAUUUGCAUUAUGUGGCUUCCACAGAUUGAGUCUACGAAGAAUUUGUAAUCUCCAUCAACUGAAUAGCCACUUGAAUAAGCGUCCGCUGUCGUGACUUUGUGAGCUCUGGAAGAAAAUUCUCAAACAGGUGUGUGCUGCCUGCAAGGUCUGGUGGUAAAUGCACAAUAGGCUGGAUUUUGUACAUCAUGAAGUAUGUGGUAUUUGCUUAGCAGACGUUCACACUUUAGUCCAGACCGGUUGGUCAGUAUUCACUUCAGCAUGGUCCUAGCAGUGUAGAAAGAGUGAACUAGCACAGGUUAGUAGGUUUUCUCCUGUCAGUGUCACCUCAAAUUAAUUUUAAACCUUUAGAAAAGUAUAAUUGAUUAUUGAGCUUUGUCCUUGUAUUCUCAUUUUAAACAUGGCCUGGUGCAUGUAGGCAAUUGGGAAUUGCACUAUACAUUGGAAACCUUCAUGAUACAUUAAACGAGUUAACCACUAUAGAAAGGUUCAAAGAGGGUGGAAGAAAGGAGACGGGAACCGGCAAACAUUUAAUCAAAUAAUAACAAAGUAAAAGACAGCCGGCCGCCCCUCACAGACGACUGCCGACGAAAUAACAUAAAAACAAAUACAAACGUAAAACAUGUUCGGGCCCAGUCCUCUCUCCUCGACGGUCCGGUCGCUCGUUCUCUUUAUGCUCCCGAUCUGGCGCUCAUUAACAGUUACUCACUGGUCUCGAACCCGGGUUCCGCCCCGCCUACUCCACUACAACCACAACUACAAUAGUUCUUUCAUAUGCCCUUUAGUGUUUGUUUACCUCAACCAUAGUACAUUUUAAUUCAUUGUAUAAUUGGAUUCUGUAUGCAUUGAUUAAAAGUAAUAAUAGUUAUUUUACCACAUUUAUCAGUUGCAGUUCGCUUUAUCCAUAUAUUAGAGCAUUUCCAUCAUAACUUUUCUAAAUCUUUUUGUGAUGUAUACAAAAUAUUUUAAUCAUAUUAAUUGUAUAGCUUGACAAGCUAUAGUAUAAUUUGUCAAUAUUGUUAUUGGCUUAUUUUCUUUUUAUGUUGUUCAAAUAUUGUCAUGUGGCAUUUGAUUAUUUAAAGAAUAAUCUACGGUAGAACAUUCAUCUUUCUCUGCCGUCUCCAGUCAUUUAGUCAUGGCAAGAUGAAAGUGAAAAAGUGAAAGUGACCUGUUUGUCAGAUAUGGUGACCCAUAUCCGAAAUAUACCUCUGCUUUUAACCCAUCCAGAGAGUAGUGAACACACGCACAGCAAGUGGUGAACACACAUACACCCAGAGCAGUGGGCAGCUAUCGCUGCAGCGCCCGGGGAGCAAGUAGGGGUUAGGUGCCUUGCUCAAGGACACCUCAAUCGUUACCCGCCUGACCUGAGGAUCGAACCGGCAAUCAAAAUGUGGAAUCACACUCUUCUUAAAGCCACAAAGUUUUGCCUGGCUGUCAGUGCAGCCAAGAAAAGCAUUUGUUGUUCCCGAGUUUUGUAAUUACAUUCUAACAAUCUUGCCUGUAGCAAACAGUAUUGCAAUAAAACCCUUGUUUAUAAACAAUACAUAUACUGUUAUUGUCGGAGCCAGCCAGUCAAUUCUGCAGUACAACUUCUGCCAGUAUCACCCAAAACCUUUACAGCACUAUCCCCAGGAAAAGUGUAUACCACUCAGCAUUAAUGCAGUGGUUGAUUGCAAGCAUGUAUUUGUGGGAACUCUUAAUAAUAAAGGAAAUCAAAUUGAUUGCUUAAAAUAUGAUUGCUGUUUCCAUACUCUUUCCCCUCUAUUAAAAUUGCACUGAGAACUAACAGUUGCAAUGAAAAUCCUUGUUUUUUUUUUGUAAACACAUUACACAUGUUUCAAUUUGCAUAUAUUUUUUAUUUGAAAUGUAGAUGCGUUCUAGAACAAAACUUAUGUGACAUUUAAUCAUGUUGACAGUGUAACAUGCAGUGACAGUGUCCCCCUGUAUCAUAAUGCUAUAUAUUAUGAUAUAAUUCAUAGAGUCAUUCCUAUAACCAAUGUAUAAGUACAUAUAUAUGAUCAGGAAUAACGCUUAUUGUUGCUGCUAUUAAUCUACUUUUAUUUUUGCAGGUGUUUAUCUGUUAGGAUCAAGUGUUUCCCCAAUUUCAGCAUAAUUGAAAUGGACACACUCCAUCCCUGACAAGCAAUGUUUUAAUUGUCUUUCAACAAUUCCCGUGAUGUUGGGAGUGCUUGAUGUGCUUUUAGUCCCUCUGGGGGAUCAGUGAGUAAAGGUUUUGAGAAUAAGUGCUUUAUUUUCAUGUCAGAUGAUGUCGUCAUGCUGGCCCCAUCAGACCAGGACCUUCAACAUGCACUGGGACGGUUUGCAGCCGAGUGUGAAGCGGCUGGGAUGAGAAUCAGCACCUCCAAAUCUAAGGCCAUGGUUCUCAGUCGGAAAAGGGUGGCUUGCCCACUUCAGGUAGGUGGAGAGUUCCUGCCUCAAGUGGAGGAGUUCAAGUAUCUGGGGGUCUUGUUCACGAGUGAGGGAAGGAUGGAACAGGAGAUUGACAGACGGAUCGGCGCUGCUUCUGCAGUAAUGCGGUCGCUGUACGGAGCUGAGCCGCAAGGCGAAGCUCUCGAUUUACCGGUCAAUCUACGUUCCUUAUCUCACCUAUGGUCAUGAGCUGUGGGUCAUGACAGAAAGGACAAGAUCCCGGAUACAGGCGGCCAAAAUGAGCUUUCUCCGCACGGUGGCCAGGCGAUCCCUUAGAGAAGCUCGGUCACUCGGGAGGAGCUCAGAGUAGAUCCGCUGCUCCUCCACAUCGAGAGGGGCCAGAUGAGGUGGCUCGGGCAUCUUUUCCGGAUGCCCCCUGGACGCCUAGGGAAGACCUAGGACACGCUGUAGGGACUAUGUCUCCCGGCUGGACUGGGAACCCCUCGCUGUCCCCCCGGAAGAGCUGGAGGAAGUGUCUAGGGUGAGGGAAGUCUGGGCAUCCCUGCUUAGACUGCUGCCCCCGCGACCCGGACGCCGGAUAAGCGGAAGAAGAUGGAUGGAUGGAUGGAUGCUUUAUUUUCCCUGUAUUGAUUCUGCAUAAACUUAUUAUUUGCCCAGUCAUUUCUCUUGUUCCAUAUGUAUGAUUUAUUCCCAAUUUAAUAAAACUGUUAAAGCCUCUUGUAAUUUUAGUGAUGUGUAAUUUACUGUUUGUUUAGGCUUGCCUGAAAGCUGAUAGGCCAGCAAUGUCUAAUUUCAGCAAUCUCAGUAAUAGUAAACCAAAAAAAUAUCUAAAAAUCAUCUACUGCCUAUUUUUCCAGUAAGCGGAGUACAGAAGUGUUAGCCUCUAUAUGUUGUCACUAGUGUAGUGUCUAGUCCCCCUGUCUUUCAGAGACAUUGCAGUAUUCUGUACUGUCUUACAAUAACUGAACUCAUGUUACAAUUAUCAGAUGCCAAAAUCCAUGAUUCAACACCGUAAAACUGUCAAUAACUAUCGAAAAUUCAUUCUACAAACACUGUGAUGCCACACAUUGGAUUUAUACGAUUGUGAAAUGAUAAGGUGCCCAUAAUUGCUCCUUGAAAGUAAAAUUGGUUUUAGUUAUAUUAUAUUAGUAUCUAUUAUAUUCUAUUAUAUUACAAUCUUA